AACCUAAUUUCAUUUCUCCGCCUUUGCCUCCAUCUCUCUCGCUCUUCAUUUCUCUUUCUUCUUGUAACUCCCAGACGAGAUCGAAAAAACCUAAUCCUAAAAUACCCAUUUAUGUUUUUUUGAUUCCCUUGCGUAUUCUAAGUGUUUGACAUCUGAACUAGAUACGAAAAUGGGAUUCACCAACAUAAGAAGAAGUAUCUGAAGAUUCACAAGCAAUUAGGCAAUUUCGUGAUGGAGGUUAGAUUCUUAAUGAGGUUUAUAAAAAGGGGUGAGAAGUGAACUGGAGAAUUUAUUGAGGAAAUGAGGUGGAAGAUAGUAUGGAUAUUAAGGAUUGUUUUCCAACUCAAAAUUAUUUGUAAGGAGGAGAAAAAUGAAGGGUUGGCGCUCAAUAACUAAGGGGUCUUUUCACUAACAGCAAGACACGAACAACAAAAGGGGUUGAUGUAGGCUAAGAUAAAGAGAAAGCUGGUUUCAGCACUUAGUGAUGUUGGACCCCAUUGUCAUGAAUUCCAUUGUCCACGAGAUUCAUAACAUGGAUAAAAGUAGAAAACUGCAUCUUCAUGUAUGUUUUAUCUUUUAUUAUUCACCAUAUUUGUUGAGAUAUCUCGAAAGUCGCUAGUAGUGCUAUCUACUUCAUGCAUCAUGUUCUGGCUAGUUUCUGGAGCUUUUGGAUAUUGGUGUCCAGUACCUGUACUGAUUCUUGAUACUGAAAUUGGUGUCUACAUGAACUUAUUAAAAGCAAUGCUUUGUUGUUAUUGAUGUUCGCAUAAACUUGUUAUCAUAAUGUGCUUAGUCACCUUGAAGUUAAUAGAUUAUUGAAGGUCCAUCUUUGUAUAUGUUCUGAGGGAACGUAUCAAGAAGGGGUUACAGUUGUAUUCUUCUGAGCCUACAGAACCAUAUCUGUCAUCUCAAAACUAUGGAAAUAAUAUGGUUUGUGGAUGACAGUGACACCAAUGUGUAUUGUGCAACUAUCCACAAAAUAUUUGAAGGGAAUCACAUGACAAACCCAUCAAUGGUGCUAUUUUUUAAUUCAAUCCAAGGAUUGGGAAAUUGUGUUUCUUAAGGUCAUCCACAAAAGUGUGUGGGCAGGGUAGAAACGUCUCGACCAGCUUUCCAAGUGCAACACUUCUGAGGAAGUAGCUGCUCUUGUGCGGUCCUUGCUAGUUGAAGAGCAGCCAAAGCAGAUGAUUGUCACUUGUAAGGGAAUGCUUGACCCUCUGGAGGUCCGCUUUCUUGAUUUCCCCAAUGUGUUUAUCGAAGGCAGUGAGUUGCAGCUUUCGUUCCAGGCUUGCUUGAAGAUUGAGAAAUUUGGUGAUUUAAUUCUGAAGGUGACUGAACUACAAUGCUUCUGUUAAUUUCUUCGAUGACUGGAUGAAGUUAAGUCGCGCUUCAUAUGUUUUUGUGUUCAACCAAUGGGAAUAUUAUGUGUACGUGUUCUGUUUUCGUGCAAACAAGGGACGACUAAGAAUUCCUUAAUGCAGGUGAAGGUUUCUUUGAGGGAUCACUCUCAGAUUAUGCACAGAAGAAGAAUGUGAACGGAUCUGCACUGACCCUCUGUCUGGGAUUCGUGAUAUUAUUCUUGGUGUUUAGAUUACUCCACCCUCGUAACAGUGUCAGCAGAUACAAGAGAUUGAAAAGCAACAGAAUUAAUCAAGCUAGUUGACAGCAGUCACAACAAAGAUUGAAAAGCAACAGAAUUAAUCAAGCCAGAGCAUGAUUUCUUGAACGACCUGGAGCCGCUUGGGUUUAUGGACUCCUUCAUAUCUUCUCUAAAUUUUAAUUUGAGUUGUUUGUAGUGUCCCUUCAAUUUGUUGAACUUAAAUUUCAUGAGGAAGUUGUUAAUGCAAGUGGUAAUACUUACAUAGUUAAAGAAGGGGCUCUUACUGUGUCAUUUGCCUUAUCGAGGAGGACGACACUGUCUCAAACUUGGGUUACUGCAGGAAUUUUCAGUGUAGAGGUGGUGUUGGAUGAUGCUCUCAUGAGGGAGCACACAACUCGAUAGAAAGAUGAGCAGAACAUAAAAGAAAGCGAUGGAGGUAGUUUACAUUUUACUCAAACUAAGUAAUUACAUUGAAGGUUUAAAGGGAUGGAAGGCUUUUUUAUGUUUUUAGUGGUAAUUAUCUUUUCAUGGAUCAUUGGGGAAAUAUUUCACUGGAUCCGAAUGAGGUAGUUUAGAUUUGAAGGAAUUGGAGAGGAACACGUAAAUCUAUAGUUUGUGUGGUGGCUCCAGUGAAGAAAGCUGAAUCAGCAGCCAAGAAUGCUCCUCAAGCAGUGAAAAGACGGGUAGACAACAAAGCCAAGAAAUCUGAGAUGAAGACGGUACUCACUCCUCUAAUUUACUGGCUCAUAAGAUCAUCCAUCAAAUGGAUGUUGAAGGUCUAAAGAAGGUGAACAAGGACAAAAAGUUCAUGCUUGAAGUCCCUUGGUUGAAAAGCUGAAAGUGUCGAAUUGAUGUGGCUGCUGAUCAAUUGCUUUCUCAUUUGGGUGGCCAUUUCUGAGACAUCCUUGGGAGGUGCAAGUGCAAGGUUAACUUGCUGUAUACUUGUGUAAAUUCUUUGUAACGUAUCAUUGUUCAAAUAUGUUCUAAUUGUAGUGAUUGGAAAUAACGAAUAAAAGCAAAUAUCUGAAUAAAAGAAAUUCUGAAGUUAUUGUGGUUUAUUAUUUUAUUACUGAAUAAUACUCUACCAGCACCUUAAGCAGC